rnacentral:tRNA from 1 species
GCCGGCGUGGCGGAACUGGCAGACGCAGCGGAUUCAAAAUCCGCCGGGAUUGAAAACCCCGUGCAGGUUCGAUUCCUGUCGCCGGCA